AGUGAACGCUGGCGGCGUGCUUAACACAUGCAAGUCGAGCGAAUUUCAACAGCGUAUCGUUGGAGUUAGCGGCAGACGGGUGAGUAAUAUUUAGACAAUCUUCCCUCGAGUGGGAAACAACCUGGCGAAAGUCGGGCUAAUGUCCCAUAAGACCACGGAGUGGCAUCAUUCAGAGGUCAAAGGUCCGCAAGGGCCGCUGGAGGAGGAGUCUAAAUCCUAUCANGGUAGUUGGUGAGGUAACGGCUCACCAAGCCUACGACGGGUAGCCGGCCUGAAGGGUGAUCGGCCACACUGGGACUGAGACACGGCCCAGACUCCUACGGGAGGCAGCAGUGGGGAAUAUUGGACAAUGGGCGCAAGCCUGAUCCAGCAAUGCCGCGUGGGUGAAGAAGGUCUUCGGAUUGUAAAGCCCUUUCGACGGGACGAUGAUGACGGUACCCGUAGAAGAAGCCCGGCUAACUUCGUGCCAGCCGCCGCCGUAAG
rnacentral:rRNA from 1 species